rnacentral:ncRNA from 1 species
CUUAGAGCGGUCGGGAUUAAACGGGAAGUUUGGUGCAAAGCCAACGCUGCCCCCGCAACGGUGAUCGGUUAAGGGUUCGACAGGUCCGCUGGACCAGCCACUGCGUUCGCGUGGGAAGGCGUCGAAUCCGGGAUGCGCGAGCAUCCGGCCGUUAGCCCGGAGACCGGCCUGCCG